rnacentral:rRNA from 1 species
CUAAGUGGUAAAGGACUUGUGGGUUUCAUAUACUACCAGGAUGUUGGCUCAGAAGCAGCCACCAUUUAAAGAGUGCGUAAUAGCUCACUGGUCGAGAGACCCUGCGCCGAAGAUUCCCGGGGCUAAAGUACGAAACCGAAGCUGUGGCUGUAUACGUAAAGUAUACGGGGUAGGGGAGCGUUCCCAUAGGGUAGAAGUCGAACUGGAAGGUUCGGUGGACUUGUGGGAAGUGAGAAUGUUGGUAUGAGUAGCGAAAAGAAAGGUGAGAAUCCUUUCCACCGAAAGCAUAAGGAUUCCUGAGCAACGAUCGUCGUCUCAGGGUAAGUCGGGACCUAAUCCGAGGCAGAGAGCGUAGGAGAUGGACAACUGGUUGAUAUUCCAGUACCGGUAGUAAUUGUUUGAGCAAUGGAGUGACACAGAAGGGCAGGCAAGCAUGCGAAUGGAAGAGCAUGUGUAAGCGUGUAGGGUGGUGCAUAGGCAAAUCCGUGCACUGAAAGCCUGAGGCGUGAUGCGGAGUGAGCAGAGAUGCGAGCGAAGUUGUUGACCCCACACUGUCGAGAAAAGCUUCUAGUGAGAGAGCUACCGCCCGUACCGUAAACCGACACAGGUAUGCGGGGAGAGAAUCCUAAGGUGCGCGGGAGAACCCUCGUUAAGGAACUCGGCAAAAUGUACCCGUAACUUCGGGAUAAGGGUAGCCACUGUUGUGAAGUCCCAUGCGGAUGGAGCAUAGAGUGGUCGCAGAGAAGAGGCCCAAGCGACUGUUUACCAUAAACACAGGUGCCUGCUAAAGCGAAAGCUGACGUAUAGGUGCUGACACCUGCCCAGUGCCGGAAGGUUAAGGAAGGAUGUUCGGAUUAGUCCAAAGCAUUCGACUGAAGCCCCGGUGAACGGCGGCCGUAACUAUAACGGUCCUAAGGUAGCGAAAUUCCUUGUCGGGUAAGUUCCGACCCGCACGAAAGGUGUAACGAUUUGGGCACUGUCUCAACGAGGGACCCGGUGAAAUUGAAAUACCUGUGAAGAUGCAGGUUACCCGCGACUGGACAGAAAGACCCCAUGGAGCUUUACUGUAACCUGACAUUGGGUUUUGAUACAUUACGUACAGGAUAGGUGGGAGGCUUGGAAAGCUGGACGCUAGUCUGGCUGGAGCCGACGUUGGGAUACCACCCUUGAUGUAUUGAAAUUCUAACCGCGAGAGUAACGAAAUCCGGGACAGUGUCAGGCGGGCAGUUUGACUGGGGCGGUCGCCUCCGAAAGAGUAACGGAGGCGCCCAAAGGUUCCCUCAGCGCGGCCGGAAAUCGCGCGAAGAGUGUAAAGGCAGAAGGGAGCUUGACUGCGAGUCAAACACGACGAGCAGGUACGAAAGUAGGGCUUAGUGAUCCGGUGGUACCGAGUGGAAGGGCCAUCGCUCAACGGAUAAAAGCUACCCUGGGGAUAACAGGCUAAUCUCUCCCAAGAGUCCAUAUCGACGGGGAGGUUUGGCACCUCGAUGUCGGCUCAUCACAUCCUGGGGCUGAAGUCGGUCCCAAGGGUUGGGCUGUUCGCCCAUUAAAGUGGUACGUGAGCUGGGUUCAGAACGUCGUGAGACAGUUCGGUCCCUAUCCAUCGCGGGCGCAAGAGAUUUGAAGGGGGCUGCUCCUAGUACGAGAGGACCGGAGUGGACGAACCGCUGGUGUACCAAUUAUCCCGCCAGGGGUACAGUUGGGUAGCUACGUUCGGAAAGGAUAAACGCUGAAAGCAUCUAAGCGUGAAACCAGCCUUAAGAUGAGAUCUCU